AUGAUCCUGUGGCUGAAAUUGGUUUCCUUACUAGCAGUCCUCAGAGGUGUCCUGUCAGAGGCCCAGUUGGUGGAGUCCGGAGGGGACGUGAGAAGGCCUGGAGAGUCCCUCCGCCUCACCUGCCAAGCCUCUGGGUUCAACUUCGGGGGCUAUUGGAUGAGCUGGGUGAGACAGGCCCAUGGGAAAGGGCUGGAAUGGGUUGCCAGCACAAUUACAGGCUCAUCUAACACUUACUACUCGGACAAAGUCAAGGGACGCUUCACCAUCUCGAGCGACAACUCCAAAAGCCAACUCUAUCUGCAAAUGAACAGCCUGAAGCCAGAGGACUCGGCAGUCUAUUACUGUGCGAGAGAC